CGGGCUCCUAGCGCUUGCUGCUAGGUUGCUAUGGAAACAGGGCCUCUCGCCUUCAGGGCCUCGGGUCUGUGAUCUUGUUGCGGGGAGGCCCCGGUGCCAGGGUCCCAUUGUUGGCUAUCCGGCGGGGUGGGGCCGCACUUUCUGGUCAGCUGUCGGGGUCAGCUCUGACCCGUGGCCCGCGCGGAUUUUUGUGGUAGGGCCUCGCCGUCCUGCCGCGCUGGUAGGCUUGCCCAGGGGCCUGCGGGCUUGCAGGAAGGCAGGGCCUCACUGGAGCAUUGCCCCAGGCUGGAAGCCUGGCCCUGGGCCCCCUGCUGUGAGACCGUCCGUAGCAGUUGCUGCUGCUGCUGCUGCUGCUGCUGCUCCUACUGUUGCUGCCCCCGCGCCGCCGCCGCCGCCGCUGCUGCUCUUGCACUUCUCUCCCCUCCUCCCCAUGAGCCUGCCGUUUCCGGACGUGCUGGUGCUUCUGUACUGAGUGGCGAUUCCUUUGCAAGAGGGGUGAACUUUGGCCAGUCUGCAGCUGUGUGAGAGGGAGAACUAAAAAAAAGCAAUUAUGAAUAAAGAAGAGAAGUUUCUCUACUUGGGAAUGUCCAUGGACUAAGCCUGAGGAAAGGCUGGA
rnacentral:lncRNA from 1 species